GACGAACGCUGGCGGCGUGCUUAACACAUGCAAGUCGAACGGAAAGGCCCUGCUUUUGUGGGGUGCUCGAGUGGCGAACGGGUGAGUAACACGUGAGUAACCUGCCCUUGACUUUGGGAUAACUUCAGGAAACUGGGGCUAAUACCGGAUAGGAGCUCCUGCUGCAUGGUGGGGGUUGGAAAGUUUCGGCGGUUGGGGAUGGACUCGCGGCUUAUCAGCUUGUUGGUGGGGUAGUGGCUUACCAAGGCUUUGACGGGUAGCCGGCCUGAGAGGGUGACCGGACACACGGGAACUGGGACACGGUCCAGACUCCGACGGGAGGCAGCAGUGGGGAAUAGUGGACAAUGGGCGGAAGGCGGAUGCAGCGAUACCGCGUGGGUGAAGAAGGCCUUCGGGGUGUAAAGCCCGUUUGUGGGGAAAGAAAAGCAGCAGGUUAAUACCCCGCUGUUCUGACGGUACCCAAAGAAUAAGCACCGGCUAACUUCGUG
rnacentral:rRNA from 1 species